GCCGGGUGUGGUGGUGGACGCCUGUAAUUCCAGCUACUUAGGAGGCUGAGGCAGGAGAAUCACUUGAACCCAGGAGGUGGAGGUUGCAGUGAGCUGAGAUUGUGCCACUGCUCUCCAGCCUGGGUGACAGAGUGAGACUCUGUCUCAU
ensembl:misc_RNA Metazoa_SRP Metazoan signal recognition particle RNA